AGUUUACAAAUUUAUUUUCUACUGUAUCGCCACCGCUUGUCACAAGUUAGCCAUUUCCAAAAUACUUUACAAUUCAUUAAUGUUUGUUUCUUUUUCUUUUUCUUUUUUUUUUCUUUUGCUUUUUUAGGGCCACACUCGUGGCAUGUGGAGGUUCCUAGGCCAGGAGUCGAAUCAGAGCUACAGCUGCCCGCCUACACCACAGCCACAGCAACCCAGGAUCUGAGCCGUGUCUGCGACCUACACCACAGCUCGUGGCAAUACCAGAUCCUUAAUCCACUGAGCAAGGCAAGGGAUCGAACCCACAACCUCAUGGUUCCUAGUCGGGGUUCAUUUCUGCUGCGCCAUGAUGGGAACUCCCUGUAAAAUUGUUUCUAAUUUACCAAGCAAUCUCACACAUUUGGCCUUAUUUUGCCUUCACAGAAUCCCUACGGCCAAUAUUACUGAAGCAUCAGAUGUGAGGCAUUAUAAUAUAGUGGUGAAAAACAUGGCACUGGUGUUUGAAACCUGGCUUCCUAGCUGUGUGACCUCUGGUCCCAGCCUUUGCAGAGCUCCCCAGCAGGAAGAGAGGACAGCAGGGGAGAGCAUUUGCUUGGUGCCCACCUCUACAAGCCACGGAGGCCCUGACCAGGAGGAAGCUGGGCAGCUCCCCUACCAGUGAAGCCCAAAUCUCAGCCUAGGGCCUACCCAAGACAGCUCACUCUGCGCAGAGGAAAGGCCUCAGCCGCUGGCCAGCUUAGCCUCCCAUCCCCGGCUCCAGCCAGCAACAUACUAGAGUAGUAGGUGAGUACAUAUCUUGGAGCCCUUCAUCCUGGGUUCAAACCCCAGCUCAGCUCCCUGGCGGUUGUGUGUUUUGGGGCAAGGUCCUCACCUCUCUGGGUCUCAGCUGUGUCACCUGUAAAGUGAGGACGGGAAUAUAGUACGUUCGCCAUAGGAGACUCAUGAGAAGUAUCUGAGUUAGUACAUCUGCUGAAGAUAGUGCCUGACACACGGCAAGAGCUAUGUAAGUAGUUGAUUUCUUAUUACCGUUAUUGUAAUUAGUAUUAUUUUGUGACCGACGAGAGACCAUGUAUAGCGGAACAGACAAAACCGUAAUGGCCUUGGAGAGGUUCUGUGAAAGGAAGGCAAGGGGCCUGUUACGCAAGGAGGGACUGUCACCCUCCAUGGGCGGGUGGCUCACCAAGGGCCUUACAUCAGGUGGAAACUGCCAUUAAUAGUAGUUCCCUCUUAGGCGAGUCACAAACCCGCAGAGCACGAGGGGGUGAGAAAUUUUACUAUUGUGGGAGUGAGAAAUGUUACUACUGGGCAGAAUUCCAUUUUUAGAACGUGGGAAGUUAUUUUGAGCCGAGGGUUGAUGUUUGUUAUUUUUUUUUAAUAGCCUUUGCACUCUAACAAUGCACACACAUAGGGGCUCUGAAGAGAAACCAGGACACAGCGGGGAGCCCUGCUACGCCUCUGGGGUUGCUAGGCAACCCCUCUGGCCUCCCACCCCAGCCGAGGCCUACUGGAGAGCCAAGGGUGGGGUCCACGGACCCCUCCUACCCUUGGUCACAAGUGCCACGGCUCAUCAGAUGGCUCUGGGAUUCUCUCAAGGGCAUCUAGAAAAGGCACCCCCCUUUUCUGUUCAACCUGAGCAGUGUCUAAUUAGGCAGGCACAUUAGCGGGGAAGAGCAUUUUGUACAGCUAGAGCUACGGCUCACUUUCUAAAGCUAUCUUAGUUUCCUGUGGUUGCUGGAACAAGUUAUCACGAACUUAGUGGCUUCAAACAACAGAAAUUGACCCUCUCGUAGUCCUGGAGGCCAAAAGUCCAAAAUCAGUAUCAAGGUGGGCCCCAUUCCAGGUGUCCCUAGGGCUAGGCUCCCUCCAGAGUCUUGAAGGGAGAAUCUGUCCCUUGCCUCUCACAGCUUCUCAUGGUUGCCAGCAUCCCUUGGCUUGUGGCUGGCUCUGUGGUCUCAUUGGCUUCUCCUCUUCCAUCUGUGUCACAUCUCCUUCUGCAUUUCUUGUAGGGACUCCUGUGAUUGCAUUUAGAACCUGCCUGGAUAAUGCAAAAGCAUCCCUCCAGCUGAGGGUUCUUUUCUUUUCUUUUCCUUUUUUGGCUGCCCCACGGCAUAUGGAGUUGUGGGGCCGGGGAUCAGAUCCGAGCUGCAGUUGCGACCUAUGCUACAGCUGCAGCAAUGCCAGCUCCUUAACCCACUGUCCUGGGCUUGGGAUUGAACCUGCAUCCCGAUGCUGCAGAGACGGCACAGGUCCCCCCGUUACACCACUGUGGGAACUCCGGGAUCCUUAAUCUUGCAUCUGCUAACAGCUUUUUUCCAUAUAAAGUAACAUUUAUAGAGUUCACAAGAUGAGGAUCUGAUACUUUUGAGGGUCAUUACUCAGCCUGCUCUCCAAGUCAAUGUCUUCCUCCAAUGACAUCAAACAGCAGGUCAGCCCUCCGCCCCAGCGUGGUGCCCUAUCACUCUCUCCCUGGCAGUAUUCACCAGGGUAAGAACAACAGAGCACACAGCACUGAUCUGAAGCCCUGGCCAUCCUGGAGGCGUCUUGUGUGGACCUAAAAACAGACCAGGCCUAGAACUUCUGGAAGGAGGGUGGGUACUGGGCUAUACACUUAAGCAAUGACAGCUCCCUUGAGGCCUCCAGUUACCACCACAAAAGAACCAUAAAAAUCCAAUAAAGAAAAUGGAAAAUAUAGAAAAUGCUAAUCC
ensembl:lncRNA